UUCAUUUAUUUAAUAAUUGCAAAAAUUUAAUAAACUUAAAAUCAUAUACAUAAAUAUAGGUCAUAAAAAUAUUUUAUCCCAUUAUUGAAGAAAAAAACAACAAGAAAUUGUAAUAACAAAAAUCAACAUUAUUAUAAUAAAAAAAAAAAACUCUAUAAAAUAUUUUCUAAAACUUAAUAAACAAAAAAUCAAUUAAAAAUUAUGGUAAAAAUAAAAUAACCCAUAUAUGUAUAUGUGUGCAUAUAACAAAUGAAAAUUAAUCAUUAAAAUAUAAAAAUAAAUAACGAAUAAAAAAAAAAUUAUAGCAAAAAUUAUUGCAAUAUUUAUGAACUUUUACUUAUAUAAUAAAAAUCACCAAAUUAAAGGUUAUUUGGUUUAAAAACCAAAAUUUUGGUCAAAUAAAAUUUUCAUCACAGAAAUAAAUUAUAUACUUGUAAACACAUAAAAAGGAUUUUCAAGAUUGCAAUUUUCGACUCUGUUUCUUUCAAAGGAUUUUAAGGUAGACAGAAUUUUUUUAGUUAAAUGGUACACAAUAUACAGUCUGACCGGUAUAAGCAACACGCAUAAAAGCAAAACUUCUUUAUUAGCAAAACAAAAUUGGUUUCGUAUAUAAGCAAUAAAAAUUUUGAAAUUUUCGAAAUGUUUCUAAGCGGGUCCGACUGUAUAAUUCAACAAAACUUGAGAUUUAUAUUUAAGGUAAUAUUUUUUUUGAUUAUUGUGUAUGAUUAAUUUCUUAAAAUGUUUCGACAAUGUUUCUUAUAAAAUAUUACAAAUAACCCAAAUACGAUGUUCCAAUG